rnacentral:rRNA from 1 species
UGCCAGACUCCUACGGGAGGCAGCAGUGGGGAAUAUUGGGCAAUGGGCGCAAGCCUUACCCAGCAAUACCGCGUGAGUGAAGAAGGUCUUCGGAUUGUAAAGCUCUUUGAUCAGGGACGAACAGAUGACGGUACCUGAAGAACAAGCCCCGGCUAACUACGUGCCAGCAGCCGCGGUAAUACGGAGGAUGCGAGCGUUAUCCGGAUUUAUUGGGUUUAAAGGGUGCGCAGGCGGCACGGCAAGCCGGCGGUCAAAUCGCGGGGCCCAACCCCGCCCAGCCGUCGGAACUGCCGGGCUAGAGUGGGCGAGAAGUGCGCGGAAUGCGUGGUGUAGCGGUGAAAUGCAUAGAUAUCACGCAGAACUCCGAUUGCGAAGGCAGCGCACCGGCGCCCUACUGACGCUCAGGCACGAAAGCGUGGGCAUCGAACAGGAUUAGAUACCCGUGUAGAC